rnacentral:rRNA from 1 species
UACGUAGGGUGCAAGCGUUGUCCGGAAUUAUUGGGCGUAAAGAGCUCGUAGGCGGUUUGUUGCGUCGGCUGUGAAAACCUGAGGCUCAACCUCAGGCCUGCAGUCGAUACGAGCAGACUAGAGUGUUGCAGGGGAGACUGGAAUUCCUGGUGUAGCGGUGAGAUGCGCAGAUAUCAGGAGGAACACCGGUGGCGAAGGCGGGUCUCUGGGCAUUAACUGACGCUGAGGAGCGAAAGCGUGGGGAGCGAACAGG